ensembl:lncRNA
AUGAUGAUUUUUGGCAUCAGUACCUCUUCAAGAAUUGGCCAGCUAAUUAACAGCUACCUCCGCCUCAUUCCUGGCAUCGCCAACAACCAGGAGACAAUGGCCGAAACCACGGAGCUCUACGACAGUUUGCUGAAACUUGAACUGCUUGAUCAUUAUGAGAGGAUGAUUAACAAGAAGAGAAUGAGCUCAGUGUCCAUGCAGCAGUGGUUGGCAGGAGCAGCUUUUCACCUGCACCUGAGACUGCACCAGGUCCGUCUGAACUCUGUGCCUUUGGGAUCUGCUAAAUCACUGCGUUUUUCUUAUAAGACAGGACUGAAUCACCUGAUUCAGGGCUACGCAGCUUAUCUGCGCAGAAACAUACAGGAGACUGCAGCUCCAGGCCCACAUCACACUGCAAUCAAUGCAGCCAGUGGUCCAAAAGAAACCAGUGCAACCAAUACAACAUGCUCCAGCAGUGUCCUUUUUAAUAUCAGUUUGGUCAGUCCAAGUGUCUCGGCUGAUAUAUUCAAUGACUCUACCACACCCAAUUCAACUGCUGGAAGCUGUAAAACUCAUGGCUCCACAGAGGACGUUGGACUCAACGAAGACAGGAAGGGAAACAAUGACACCACUGUAGGUAUGAUAAAUAAAAACACACUCAAUAUUUCUGCUGGGCACAGCAGGAAGGAGGAAGAACACAUGUUAGUCAUCGAGCCUUGGAGAAACGUCAGUCACAACGUGCAGCACCAUCCCUGUGAGUCUUCGGCCAUUCAGCAAGCUCUGGUGACCCGCAUUAUCAACGCUCAGGACCUGGAGCGGAACAGAAACUUUUUCAUUUACCGAGAGAAAGCCUUCCAGAACCUCCUCAGACAGAGGGAGGACUUUGAGCUGAGGUCAAAUUAGAUCAUACAUCACAGGCAGAUCAUAUUCAUUGAUCAUGCACUUGUUGAAUUAAUGUAGAUGAAGUAUGGAUGUCCUCAGAUGUCACCUGGAGUCAGGUGAACCAUCUCCAGCUUAACACCUCAAAGACUAAGGAGCUGGUCAUCGACUUCAGGAAGUCCAGCCCACAGCCACGUCCAGUGACCGUCAGGGACGACGAGGUGGAGAUUGUAGGCAACUACAAGUACCUCGGGUUGUGGCUGGACAACAAGCUGGACUGGACAUGCUGUACAGAUCACCUGUACAAGAAGGGCCAGAGCCGACUGUACUUCCUGCGAAGACUGGGAGCCUUCAACAUCUGCAGGAAACUCCUGUGGAUGUUCUACCAGUCUGUGGUGGCCAGUACACUUUUUUAUGCUGUUGUCUGUUGGGGGGGUAACAUAAACAAAAGGUGUGCUAACAGGCUGGACAGACUUAUCAGGCGGGCCGGCUCUGUGGUCGGCAUGAAGCUGGACUCCCUGGUGACAGUGGCAGAGAGGAGAACACUAAGAAAACUCCUGGCUAUUGUGGACGAUGCCAGUCAUCCUCUGCACACUGUCAUCAGCGCUCAGAGGAGCCAGAACAGUCACAGGCUGCUCCUCCCCAAGAGCAGGACCAACAGACUCAGAGACUCCUUUGUGCCCCGAUCCAUCAAACUCUACAACUCUGCUUUUGGCAGGAGGGGGAGAAGGAAGGGAGGAGCACAGCCCGCCUGAUACAACACACGUGCAAUAAUUUACAUGUGCAAUAAUCCUGUACCAUUUAUGCUGCUGUGCAAUGUUUGUUUACAUUUACUGCACUAUACUACAUUACCAUUUAUGCUGCUGUGCAAAUUUUUUGUACACAAUUCCUUUACAUUACUGCACUAUAUCACAUGACAAUCUAUGCUGGUGUACAAUGUUUGUAAAUAAUUCCUUUAUUUUUUACUGCACUAUAUUCUAUUUUAUUCUAUUUUAUCUUAUUCUAUUUAACUCUUGCUCUGACUGUUGGUGUUGUAGUGCUGCUGGUACCCAAAUUUCCCCGAGGGACCUUCCCAAAGGGAUUAAUAAAGUAUAUUCUAUUCUAUUCUAUUCUAAAAGA